GAUUAACGCUGGCGGCGUGCCUAACACAUGCAAGUCGAGCGAGAAGUCGGAAGUGAAACUUCGGUGAAGCAGAAGAUGGAAAGCGGCAGACGGGUGAGUAACGCGUGAAUAAUCAACCCUGUACAAAGGGAUAGCCUCGGGAAACCGGGGUUAAUACCAUAUGAAGUAUAUUAAUCGCAUGACAGAUAUAUUAAAACUUUGGUGGUACAGGACGAGUUCGCGUCCCAUUAGCUAGUUGGUGAGAUAAAAGCUUACCAAGGCGACGAUGGGUAGCCGGCCUGAGAGGGUGAACGGCCACACUGGAACUGAGACACGGUCCAGACUCCUACGGGAGGCAGCAGUGGGGAAUAUUGCACAAUGGAGGAAACUCUGAUGCAGCGACGCCGCGUGAGCGAAGAAGGCUUUCGAGUCGUAAAGCUCUGUCCUAAGAGAAGAAGAAGUGACGGUAACUUAGGAGGAAGCCCCGGCUAACUACGUGCCAGCAGCCGCGGUAAUACGUAGGGGGCUAGCGUUGUCCGGAAUUACUGGGCGUAAAGGGUGAGUAGGUGGUCAUUAAAGUCAGAUGUAAAAGGCAAUGGCUCAACCAUUGUAAGCAUUUGAAACUUAAUGACUUGAGUGCAGGAGAGGUAAAUGGAAUUCCUAGUGUAGCGGUGAAAUGCGUAGAUAUUAGGAAGAACACCAGUGGCGAAGGCGAUUUACUGGACUGUAACUGACACUGAGUCACGAAAGCGUGGGGAGCGAACAGGAUUAGAUACCCUGGUAGUCCACGCUGUAAACGAUGAGUGCUAGGUGUCAGCAAGAGAUUGUCGGUGCCGCAGUUAACGCAUUAAGCACUCCGCCUGGGGAGUACGAUCGCAAGAUUGAAACUCAAAGGAAUUGACGGGGACCCGCACAAGCAGCGGAGCAUGUGGUUUAAUUCGAAGCAACGCGAAGAACCUUACCAAGACUUGACAUCCUCUUGACAGGUGUAGAAGUACACCCUCUCUUCGGAGCAAGAGUGACAGGUGGUGCAUGGUUGUCGUCAGCUCGUGUCGUGAGAUGUUGGGUUAAGUCCCGCAACGAGCGCAACCCUUAUCAUUAGUUGCCACCAUUAAGUUGGGAACUCUAAUGAGACUGCCGGUGAUAAACCGGAGGAAGGUGGGGAUGACGUCAAAUCAUCAUGCCCCUUAUGUCUUGGGCUACACACGUGCUACAAUGGUCGGUACAACGGGAAGCUAAGGAGUGAUCUGGAGCUAACCCCAAUAAGCCGAUCCCAGUUCGGAUUGCAGGCUGCAACUCGCCUGCAUGAAGUUGGGGUUGCUAGUAAUCGCGAAUCAGAAUGUCGCGGUGAAUGCGUUCCCGGGUCUUGUACACACCGCCCGUCACACCACGGGAGUUGGUAAUACCCGAAGCCGUCGAGCUAACGUAAGAGGCAGACGUCGAAGGUAGGACUAAUGACUGGGGUG
rnacentral:rRNA from 1 species